GAAAGAUGAAAAGAACUUUGAAAAGAGAGUUAAACAGUACGUGAAAUUGUUGAAAGGGAAACGAUUGAAGCCAGUCGUACCUUCGGGUAAUCAGCCUUUCGGGUGCGAUUCUGUGGGGUUUGAGGAGCUUUAACACCUUCAUGCUUUGCAUAUUCGUGCUCUUGGGUGUACUUGCCCGUGUGGUUGGUUAACAUCAAUUUUGGUGGUCAUAAAAUGACUGGAGGAAUGUAGCUUCGAUCUCGUAUUGAAGUGUUAUA
rnacentral:rRNA from 1 species